rnacentral:rRNA from 1 species
AACGAACGCUGGCGGCAUGCCUAACACAUGCAAGUCGAACGAGACCUUCGGGUCUAGUGGCGCACGGGUGCGUAACGCGUGGGAAUCUGCCCAAAGGUUCGGAAUAACUCAGGGAAACUUGAGCUAAUACCGGAUAAUGUCGCAAGACCAAAGAUUUAUUGCCUUUGGAUGAGCCCGCGUAGGAUUAGCUAGUUGGUGGGGUAAAAGCCUACCAAGGCGACGAUCCUUAGCUGGUCNGAGAGGAUGAUCA